rnacentral:misc_RNA from 1 species
UGGUUCUGGCAUCGCUGAAGAACGCAGCGAAAUGCGAUAAGUAAUGUGAAUUGCAGAAUUCAGUGAAUCAUCGAAUCUUUGAACGCACAUUGCGCCCUUUGGUAUUCCGAGGGGCACGCCUGUUCGAGCGUCAUUUAAACCAUCAAGCCUAGCUUGGUCUUGGACGAGGUCGAGUGACCUGUCCGUAACCCGUUGGCGGUGCAGUCCGGCUUCAAGCGUAGCAAAAAUUUCGCUUCAGAAGUCCGCGGCGGCGCCUGCCAGGCAAUUACACUCAAAGUUUGACCUCGGAUCAGGUGAGGAUACCCGCUGA